GGGGAUUUUAUCAUAGAAGUUUUGCGGAUCUGCCAGGACUCAGCAUGAGAUUCCUGCAGGCUUUGGCUUGGUUUUUUUUGUCUCAGGAAGGAAAUUGUAUCAAUUGCUGUAAUUCACAAGUCUUGGUGUGGGGCUCUUACAGGUUUGCAAAGCUUAAUAAAAAAACAUGGAUAUAAACAAGCACUCUGUGGUUUGUGUGGUUCCCCCAUUUCUCAGAGGCUCACGCAUCAGCAAGCAUUGCAUAUAGACAGAACCAAACCUUAGUGAGCAGAGAGCAGCAAGCAAGAACUAGAGGGAGUAAAAUGAGAGACUGCAAUAAUAGUAAUAUUCUGAAGGUGACUGUAAAUGAAGUGCAACACAUGAAUGUAUUCCCCCUGAGAAAUGCAAUGAACUAUUUUUCCAUCGAUUGCAGUAAGAUUUCAUCAUACAGUGAAAUCAUUCUUCUGAUUCUUUCCAGGUAAGAAGAUUGUUUGACUCUAAUUAGACCCCUACUUUUAUCCUCUUUUGAACUAUCAUCUCUCUUUUUUUUUUUUUCCUGACAUCAGUUUUAAUUGACAGUGUGUUUUUCCUGCUCUAUAACCUUACAUUCUCCUCCUUCUUAUUUAUUUAUUUACUUUGAAAGUAGAAUAAAGAAAUGAAGUAUUGUGGGAAAAUGUAUUCUAUACCAACUGCAUUUAGUAAAUGAGUUUGCA
rnacentral:lncRNA from 1 species